UGUGGUUCUGAGUUGUUGGUGUUUUAAGUUCUAUUGCAUGCUUUUGAUUAUUGGUGUUCUGAGUUUUGUCUUUGAUUUUUGGGUGUCCCACUGCCUGUGAACGCCUCUGAUGAGGCAAUGUGCUGCACCUGCCAGGUUCUCCCUUCCUCCCUACAGGAACCAAUGAACGGCGGGGACAGAGGCUUCGGGGCUGGCAGGAGAGAGCUAUAUAUGAGUCUAUGGAAAGCAAAGGAGAGCGCAUUUGGAGGGAGAGCUGCAAAGGGUGGACAAGCGGUGGGAGCACGAGUCUGAAAACGGAGGCAGAGCGGAACGCUGUGACGAAGUCGGAGAGAGACUCAGAACAUUACAACGCGACAUACUCGCAGCGGCAGGGUGGUUAGCACUGCCGGGCGUGUGGUUUCCCUGGACAUGAGCCCAGGCUCAGGAAGAAGGUGGCUGGAUUCCGUGACUGCUGAACCGUGUGCUCCGUACCCCGCGUCCCCUGGAUUUUAACUGCGGAUUUUAACUUAGACUAUAGGUUUUAUUGGACUCGCACCUUGCCGGCAAGAAGUUGGGUAAUGUUUUUAGAAGUGUGAACUGUGUUGGCAUAUAGAGAAACGAUUCUUCUAAUUAAAUGAUUGUUUUGCACCGGCAUUUGGUUUUUCUGCCCUCCGUUAAUUGUCGCUGAUAAGGUCCUCCAACCUGAUCGGUAAAGAACCUGGUACAAAAAUUUGCAAUAUCAUUGAUUCGGUCAUCUUACAUUAUAUACUCACACCCACUCGGUGUCACACGUGCACGCAAAAACAUAUACACAAACAAACACAGACACAUCAACAGCAGAUCCAGGUAGGAGGAGAACAGAUUGAAGAUACAAUAAUUUACACCUUUUUACUACCCUCUGGUCCAGUGGAUCUGAACAUAUGUAAUAUGUAUUUAGAGGAGUGUGGAGUCCAAUCAUUAAAAAUGUGUUUGUUGUAUGAUCUUCAGAUGACAUAACCUAAGCCUAACCCUAAACCUAAGGCCAUGGACUCUGAAUUUGCCAAAACAAUAAAUCACUCAUUUUUUUUGAUGUAGUAACCAUAGAAAAUGACUUUCACAGACCCAAACAAGAUACUAGUGGGAUAAGUGCAAAUCCUUUUGCUAAUGCCUUGUUCCUCAGGGUUGGCUGACAUCUACCCGAGAAUAAGUUACUGCUUCACCUUCAAAUCAGCUUUGUAGUAAUAUGGUGUGCAAAAACUGCCAACACUGUUCAUGGCUCCUGUGCACUCUGGCUCCCGAUUAUUUCUACUGACAACACUUUGGCAUUAGAAAAGUACAAGUAGAUCAUCACCUUCCAAGCUCAAGGGAUUUAAAUUCUUCUGGCAGGCUGUUGAGAGGAAGCUCUACCCAGGGCCGGCCCGAAGACUUUGGUGGCCCUUAGCAAGAUUUUUUUUGUGGCCCCAAAACAUGCACAGGGCAACUACCAAAUCAUGUGUACAGUUUGUAAUUGGGUUAAAACACACAUGCACACGAUUAACAGCAAAUAUUCAGCCCACUCCUGAACUUCGUUUUUGGAGCCAUGAUGCCAUCUGUAGUGCUAUUGCUUUUCCAUCUGUGGCUUCUCCAGACCAGUGUAAUCGAUCAAGUUUGAAACUGUGCCGUGGUGUCACAGUAGCCUAACUUACGCACGAAGCAUGGAGUCACCAACUGACUGCUGGUUUAUUUUUUCUUUCCUGUAUUUUUCCCGUAUAGUUUUCUAAUAAGCCAGUUUAAAUUGAUAUGUUACCAUGAUGAUUUAUGUUUUAUUGGAAUAAAGACAGGCAUGGGCGUAACCACCA